rnacentral:rRNA from 1 species
UACGAAGGGGGCAAGCGUUGUUCGGAAUUACUGGGCGUAAAGGGUGCGUAGGCGGUCUUGCAAGUCAGAUGUGAAAGCCCCGGGCUCAACCUGGGAACUGCAUUUGAAACUGCAAGGCUUGAGUAUGGGAGAGGUUAGCGGAAUUCCGAGUGUAGAGGUGAAAUUCGUAGAUAUUCGGAAGAACAUCAAUGGCGAAGGCAGCUAACUGGACCAUUACUGACGCUGAGGCACGAAAGCGUGGGGAGCAAACAGG